rnacentral:rRNA from 1 species
UACAGAGGGUGCGAGCGUUGUUCGGAAUUACUGGGCGUAAAGCGCGCGCAGGCGGCCUUUUAAGUCUGACGGUGAAAUGCCGGGGCUCAACCCCGUGCCCGCCGCGGAUACUGGGAGGCUGGAGACACGUAGAGGCAAGCGGAAUUCCGGGUGUAGCGGUGGAAUGCGUAGAGAUCCGGAAGAACACCGGAGGCGAAGGCGGCUUGCUGGGCGUAGUCUGACGCUGAGGCGCGAAAGCGUGGGGAGCAAACAGG